rnacentral:rRNA from 1 species
GACGAACGCUGGCGGCGUGCUUAACACAUGCAAGUCGAACGGAAAGGCCCUGCUUUUGUGGGGUGCUCGAGUGGCGAACGGGUGAGUAACACGUGAGUAACCUGCCCUUGACUUUGGGAUAACUUCAGGAAACUGGGGCUAAUACCGGAUAGGAGCUCCUGCUGCAUGGUGGGGGUUGGAAAGUUUCGGCGGUUGGGGAUGGACUCGCGGCUUAUCAGCUUGUUGGUGGGGUAGUGGCUUACCAAGGCUUUGACGGGUAGCCGGCCUGAGAGGGUGACCGGCGACAUUGGGACUGAGAUACGGCCCAGAAUCCUACGGGAGGCAGCAGGGGGGAGUAUUGCACAAUGGGCGGAAGCCUGAGGCAGCAACGCCGCGUGCGAGAUGACGGCCUUCGGGUUGUAAACCGCUUUCGCCUGUGACGAAGCGUGAGUGACGGUAAUGGGUAAAGAAGCACCGGCUAACUACGUG